rnacentral:rRNA from 1 species
CACGUAAUUAGCCGGGGCUUAUUCGCUGAUUACCGUCAUCAGAGAAGCAUUCCCUCUUCCCCUUAUUCUUCAUCAACAAAAGGAUUUUACAACUUUUCAGCCUUCUUCAUCCACGCGGCGUCGCUCCGUCAGACUUUCGUCCAUUGCGGAAUAUUCUUAGCUGCUGCCUCCCGUAGGAGUUUGGGCCGUAUCUCAGUCCCAAUGUGUCCGAUCACCCUCUCAGGCCGGAUACCCAUCGUCGCCUUGGUGGGCCGUUACCUCACCAACUAGCUAAUGGGACGCAAGCUCAUCCUUAAGCGAAGCCGUAGCUUCCUUUCCUCAAUACCUCUUGUGAAGCACUGAGUGUAUUCGGUAUUACCUGCUAUUUCUAGCAGCUAUCCCCAUCUUAAGGGUAGAUUACCCACGUGUUCCUCACCAGUCCGCCACUCUAGGAGAGAAGCAAGCUUCUCUCUUGCCGUUCGACUUGCAUGCUUAAGACGCGCCGCCAGCGUUCGUU